AGGAAUAUUGGUCAAUGGGCGCGAGCCUGAACCAGCCAAGUAGCGUGAAGGAUGAAGGUCCUAUGGAUUGUAAACUUCUUUUAUACGGGAAUAAAGUGGUCCACGUGUGGACUUUUGCAUGUACCGUAUGAAUAAGCAUCGGCUAACUCCGUGCCAGCAGCCGCGGUAAUACGGAGGAUGCGAGCGUUAUCCGGAUUUAUUGGGUUUAAAGGGAGCGCAGACGGGGGAUUAAGUCAGUUGUGAAAGUUUGCGGCUCAACCGUAAAAUUGCAGUUGAUACUGGUUCCCUUGAGUGCAGUUGAGGCAGGCGGAAUUCGUGGUGUAGCGGUGAAAUGCAUAGAUAUCACGAAGAACCCCGAUUGCGAAGGCAGCCUGCUAAGCUGUAACUGACGUUGAGGCUCGAAAGUGUGGGUAUCAAACAGGAUUAGAUACCCUGGUAGUCCACACGGUAAACGAUGGAUACUCGCUGUUGGCGAUAUACUGUCAGCGGCCAAGCGAAAGCAUUAAGUAUCCCACCUGGGGAGUACGCCGGCAACGGUGAAACUCAAAGGAAUUGACGGGGGCCCGCACAAGCGGAGGAACAUGUGGUUUAAUUCGAUGAUACGCGAGGAACCUUACCCGGGCUUAAAUUGCAGACGAAUUACUUGGAAACAGGUAAGCCGCAAGGCGUCUGUGAAGGUGCUGCAUGGUUGUCGUCAGCUCGUGCCGUGAGGUGUCGGCUUAAGUGCCAUAACGAGCGCAACCCUCGUGGCCAGUUACUAGCAGGUAACGCUGAGGACUCUGGCCAGACUGCCAUCGUAAGAUGCGAGGAAGGUGGGGAUGACGUCAAAUCAGCACGGCCCUUACGUCCGGGGCUACACACGUGUUACAAUGGGAGGUACAGAAGGCAGCUACCCGGCGACGGGAUGCCAAUCUCCAAAGCCUCUCUCAGUUCGGACUGGAGUCUGCAACCCGACUCCACGAAGCUGGAUUCGCUAGUAAUCGCGCAUCAGCCACGGCGCGGUGAAUACGUUCCCG
rnacentral:rRNA from 1 species